rnacentral:rRNA from 1 species
UGCGUAGGCGGAAUAUUAAGUCAGUGGUGAAAUCCUGCGGCUCAACCGUAGAACUGCGAUUGAUACUGAUAUUCUUGAAUGUAGUUGAGGUAGGCGGAAUGUGUAAUGUAGCGGUGAAAUGCUUAGAUAUUACACAGAACACCGAUUGCGAAGGCAGCUUACUAAACUAUGAUUGACGCUGAUGCACGAAAGCGUGGGGAGCGAACAGGAUUAGAUACCCUGGUAGUCC